rnacentral:rRNA from 1 species
GUCCACGCCGUAAACGAUGAUUACUCGAUGUUGGCGAUAAACUGUCAGCGUCUUAGCGAAAGCGUUAAGUAAUCCACCUGGGGAGUACGCCCGCAAGGGUGAAACUCAAAGGAAUUGACGGGGGCCCGCACAAGCGGUGGAGCAUGUGGUUUAAUUCGAUGAUACGCGAGGAACCUUACCUAGGCUAGAAUGCGCGUGACCGGUCCAGAGAUGGACCUUUCCUUCGGGACACAAAGCAAGGUGCUGCAUGGCCGUCGU